UGUACAUAUAAAGAAUGUAGGAAUAUAAAGAAUGUAGGAAGAUCUUCAUCAUUUCUUAAAUACAAUAUGUUAGAAAUUUUAAGUUUGAGAAAAAAAUUAUAGAAAUUAAUCAGUAAGUACAAUAUCAUUAUGUACAAUAUUACAUCAAUCAAUGUAUAGAUAACCUGAGGUACCUAUUACUACAACUUUCAUGCUAUAAACAAUUUUCCUUGUGUGUCACAUGUGGAGCAGAUUAACAGUAACUGAUUUAUUAGUAAGUUUCAUUCCUUCAUUGUUGUAAUUCAGCUUUCAUGGUGCAGUAGAUGAUUAUAUAACCAUAACUAGACAGUCUAGAGUAACAUGCUAUUAGGAGAAUGACAGUUCAUAACAGAAACAGCAUUAAAUAAGAAUUAUUAUUUUGCAGACACAAAGCAAUGAGGACCAGCCUGGAGCAACACAUUUGAUCUUCAGUGGCUUUACAAAGGACCAAGUGAUGGCAGAACUGAAGCCAUAUGCCUCAAAAGAGAAAGGUACAGCAAAGCUCUUCAGAAUGCUAUUCAAUAUAGAAGAGAUUAAAGGUCGCUCAUUGUUUGGUAUGAGGAAAGGGAACAGAGAGUCUGACGCCAGACCUUCUUGUGCAGACAAGGCAAAACUUAAGUUCUUGGAAGAUUGUGCGCUCGAAAAGUUGCCGACAACCUAAAGGACUGAACUCAAACCGUCCAGGAAUAGCAAGAUAAACUGAAGAAAAUAAAUGGACUAAUGUUUUGCUAUUUUUUGAGACAAUAUAUAAUUUCAUAUGGAAACAUUAAAAAGGAUUAUUUUUAAAAUUUGUUUGUUUCCAAUUUAGGGUACAGGGUGACUUUCAAGCAGUUUCCAGCUAUUGCCACCCACAAGGUGGAAAAUUUCUGAAAGGGUGAAAAUAGGUGGCAUUUAGUGGAAACUGAAUUUGCCACUAUCUGGUGGCAAAAUGGUGGAAAAGUGUCUAAAUACUCCACCAAUUUUCCACCCUUAUGGUGGCAAAAGGUAGAAAUAAGUGGCAUUUGGUGGAAAAUAAGUUUGCCACUCAAUGGUGGCAUAAUGGUGGAAAUUUGUCUAAAUACUCCACCAAUUUUCCACCAUUAUGGUGGCAAUAAGUGGAAACAAGUGGCAUCUAGUGGAAAAUGAGUUUGCCACCCUAAGGUGGCAUAAUGGUGGCAUUAUGGUGAAAGUUUGUCUAAAUACUCCACCAAUUUUCCACUCAUUGGUGGCAUUUAGUGUAAAAAAGGUGGAAUUAACUGGAAAAUUAUAUAACAUCAGUCCUGCUCAAAUUUUUCAUAAUUUUCAUGAUUUGGGUGGCGUUUUGGUGGCGUUUUGGUGGCAUUAUUGGUGGAAAAUUGUCUAAAUACUCCACCAUUGAAAAGGGUGGCAUUUUAGUGGCAAAUCUAGGGACGG